ACGGUAACGUCCUCUUCGAUAAAUAUGGAGUUUCAUAGCAAACGUACGUCCGUUCGGAGCGAAACCGCGGAGAAAUCGUACCGAAAGCGUUGCUUAUGGUGUUCGAUAAAUGUACAAAAUGUCGGGUAAAGUGCAUCAAUCAUCGAGACGCUUCAGAAAGAUGAAUCUUCUUGAUACUCAUUCGAACGCAGAGCUGCAUAAUGUGGCAUCAAGACGCGACUAUCUUCAUCCGAGUCACAUUUUUCUCGCUUCGUAACAAUUUUCUUCGAUUGUAAAUAUCAGCUUGAUCACUUCGAUCGGAAGUGGCGCAAUUUUUCAUGAGUUCAAAGUCCAAUAUGUGUCUCCGUAGGCGUUACAUCUCUGAUUCACAUGCUGCGUAAAAAUGUUCCGGUCGGCCUUAAGAUAAAGAUCAGGUAAGAAUAGCAAUAGAAGAAGGUAAAAGGAGGAAAAGAGACGGUUUGCUCUGGUUGGAGUUUGAUCGAGAUUCGAAGGAUGGCAAAGAAAAAAAUACAUUUUGCGUUAUCCGUUUAGAUUGCGGAAAAUAAUUAAAUAAUUGAUUACGAUAUAUAUAAUGAUAAUGUUUGAUUUGAAACCAUCAGUACAAUUAACAGGUCAAUAAAAAUAUCCACGAAUGAAUUUUAUUUUAAACCAUAGAUAAAUGAAGAUGUAAACGAAAAACGUUUACUCAAUCGAACACAUUAAUUAAAGCUGUCUGGUCAGCUGCGAUAACCUCAUUACAUUUUUAUUCUUAUAUAACGUUAUUUAUUAUUAAGUUAUUAAUUCACUAUUCAUGGUUUUUAUAAAACUAUAAUAAUGAUUACAUAAUUUCAUACGUAACAAUAAAACUAGUUUACAAAGACAAUAACAAAAAUUAAAAAAAUUUAUUAUUAUUAUGUAUCUAUCUUCUCUAUUUUAUUUUAUUACUAUGAUGCAAUCGUGGUAUUACCUGCAAUGCUGCAUAUUUGCAUUACUGCCAUGAUGCUAAUUGUAAGUAGAAUAUUCCAGAAUUUAUUUUUUUGAAUCAUAAGAUAAGCAUUACAUAUUAUUAUAUUUUAAAUAAUUUUCUUUUGAAUUACCAUUAUCUAAAUGUGCUAUAAUAUUUUACAUAACUGAAGUACAAAAACAUAUUUUUUAUUGCUUGCUUAUUAUUCGUGUAAUUACAUUUUAAUCGAACAAACAAGUUUCUGUGCCGUUUUCGUAAUUAAAAAUAUGUGUCAACGUGUUUUUCCUGAAGUGUAUGCAUCAUUGGAAACGAUCUGCUUAUAGGUUGCAACGCAAAACUUGUUUCAUAAAAUUUUGAAGCAAGUGACGAGUAAAAUUGCGAAUUUA